rnacentral:rRNA from 1 species
AUGGCGUCUGAAGAAGCUACGAGGGGAUGUUGCAAGGCCAGCGGCGAGCACGGCGAAGUAGCGCUGGAAGCACAGGUGUUGCGAGGCCGCUCGUCGGAAGCAAUGAUUGCUGCAAGGUCGCUCGCCGGCAGGAAAACGGUUGAUAUUUCCGCUCCUACAUCUGGCUGGCGCCUAGCACGCACCCUUGCCAAUGGUAUCUACCCUCAACAUGCGACAUCUAUGAAGACAAUCUCCAAUCGACAAAGUACCAAAAAGUUUCUAUUUCCCCAAAUGCAAGAAGGUGAGAGGAAGGAUGUGGAGAGGGCCUUUGGACAAAUUGAGCACAACAUGAUGGUGGAGGAUGAGUGCCGUCAAUUCACACCCCAUGGGCUGACUACGCUGGAGAGCUUCUCGAACUCCCAGAACAAGAACCGGCUGAAAUUCAGAAUAUUCUCAAGAUGCUAA